rnacentral:rRNA from 1 species
CAAUAGCGUAUAUUUUAGUUGUUGCAGUUAAAAAGCUCGUAGUUGAAUUUCUGGUGAGCGAGAGUGGUCCGAUCAAUGAUUGGUGCUUGCUCUCGCUGGCCAUCCUUGGGUUUAGCCAGUCUGGCAUUAAGUUGUCGGGCUGGGGAUGCCCAUCGUUUACUGUGAAAAAAUUAGAGUGUUCAAAGCAGACUUAUGUCGUUGAAUAUAUUAGCAUGGAAUAAUAAGAUAGGACUACAGUGCUAUUUUGUUGGUUUGCGCACCGUGGUAAUGAUGAAUAGGGACAGUUGUGGGUAUUCGUAUUCACUUGUAAGAGGUGAAAUUCUUAGAUUAAGGGAAGACGAACUACUGCGAAAGCAUUUACCAAGGAUGUUUUCAUUAA